GACGAAGGUGGCAACCGUUGUUCGGAAUCACUGGGCAUAAAGAGCACGUAGGCGGGGGCGUAAGUCGGGUGUGAAAUCCCUCGGCCCAACCGAGGAACUGCGCCCGAAACUGCGUCCCUCGAGGGCAGGAGGGGAGCGUGGGAUUCCUGGUGGAGCGGUGAAAUGCGUUGAUAUCAGGAGGAACACCGGCGGCGAAGGCGACGCUCUGGCCUGCUUCUGACGCUGAGGUGCGAAAGCCAGGGGAGCAAACGGG
rnacentral:misc_RNA from 1 species